AUAAAAAUAGCAGCAAAUUAAUUUUUAAUGUUUCAUAAUUUUUCCAAUGAGUUACCAAUAGUUACUUUUGGGAUGUGACUGUAUUUUAACUAGGAACAUAUUGUGUAAUAAUGAUUGGUAGGUCAGAAUAGUCACAUAUCAAAAGUGUCAUAUUUAAACUGGAAACUAUAUAUUGUUUUAGGAGAAAUAAAGACAUUUGACCUUAUACUGUUUUCAAU